rnacentral:lncRNA from 1 species
UAGAGCUCGUCGAAUCCAUUCUAUUUGAUCACUCAUAUAUUUUGUUUGGAGUUCAGAUCAUGAAGUUACGGACAUUGCUAUUUUAAGCGUGACUUACUGUAGCUGAGCCCACCCACCUGUUGCCGUGAGUCCCAUAUCUUUUUUUCCCUUUUCUUUUCCCAAUCUCAUCCCGAAUCUUUUUCUAAACCCUGCACCCCCUAAGUCUCCUACCCUGCGCCGCCACCCUCCUUCUGACCGAGAUCCGUCGUCACCGUUCCUCUUCAAAAAUUGGUUGGAC